UACAGAGGGUGCAAGCGUUGCUCGGAAUCAUUGGGCGUAAAGGGUAGGUAGGUGGUCUCAUUUGUCCGGGGUGAAAGCCUUGGGCUUAACUCAAGAAGUGCCCCGGAAACGGUGAGACUGGAGUCUUGGAGAGGGUCGUGGAAUUCCCGGUGUAGCGGUGAAAUGCGUAGAGAUCGGGAGGAACACCAGAGGCGAAGGCGGCGACCUGGACAAGCACUGACACUCAACUACGAAAGCGUGGGGAG
rnacentral:rRNA from 1 species